UCUCAAAGUGCCAUCCCUGGUCAGGAAGCUUCGAGUUACUUGCUGGAAAUGUAGAUUCUCAGGCCUCACUUCAGACCUACUGAAUCAGAACGAGAAGUAGAAGGGAACAGCCUAGGUAAUAUUAAGGAUUAUGAAAAAUAAUUGAGAUGUUUUAAAUAGAGGGAUAACACAAUCAGGAUAAUAGUAGCUAAAUGGUUUGGCAUUAAUAGCUGAACAGAAACUUCUCAAAAUCUAAUUUUUGCAAUAAUCAGGAUUAGAAACCAUACUGUCUUUAAAUCAAGGGUCACAAUCAUAAUGCCUUUAGGACUAAGCGGGUAAGGUGAAUGGGUGAAAAGGGUAAUGUGGAAAACUGGAGUGGCUGCCCUCCAGUCAGCCUAGCAUCUGCUCUGGAGCCAAACACAAAUAGGUGCCCCAUAAACAUCUGUUGAGUGAAAAGAAUAUACUGGCAAACCUAGGGAUCCCUUAACACAGCUGCUUAAGAAAAGGAGAGGGCCCCUUGUAGGGAAUCCCGACUUUUCCUUUCUUCAGCUCUGACAGUUUCCCAGCCUUGGCUAGGGAAAUCUGGCAUCAAACCAAAAUUUCAAAGAAAAACCACCUUUUGUUUCUUGGUCCAAAAAGGAGAGGGAUAAAAAGCAAUUCAACAAACAAGAUGCCAACAACCCAGCCAGCUCACCUCCUUCACGGAGCUUCUACCACAAAGCAAAUGACCCAUUUGGAUGAAUCGAUAGUAGAAGCUUGAACUUGGGAAUGCUCCUUGUGAUAGGCUGCCCAGGAACAACCCUCCCCUGGGCUCAAGAAGCUGCCUGCACCUUCACUUCAGUGGGUCAGAUAAGAAGCUCUUGGAUUCAACAGGACAAGGCUCUCAACCCUGAGAAGACAUGCAACGUGUCUGUAUGCUAGGCUUCUCAGGACUAAAAAUACCAAAUACAGCUCUGCCAAAAGGUCACUAGGACCAAGUAGAAACUUUUCAAGGGGGAGCAACUUACAGUACUGGCAGAAAUCCACUGAGCUGGGUUCUUGCCACAAAAGUACCUUACUCAAAUGUAGUCAUAGAUGAUGAUGGAGUGGUAACACAUUUCUGAUUGAAUCGGGUUAGAAAGCACAAACCAGUGAAGUUUAAGAUGCAGAAAAGGACUGCAACAGGCAUUAAUGAGAAGGGAACAAAAAGGGAUUGCCUUAUUCAGACACUUCCUCCCCUAAUUCCUCAGGUGAGAAAGUCAACAGUCUCAGAAGGCCCAUCUGAUAGUGGCUAUUCACCCUGGCCUGGCCUGAACAACAGGUGUUGAAGGACUCUGCAGACACUGCCCUACUGAAGAUCACCGCUCAGUGGAUACAAGUAGGCCAGCCAGGUCAAAGAAGAAGACAGAUAUGUACAUGGGAUGGUACCCAAAACCUUGGCCUUGUAAGUAGCAAACUCUAACUGAGCCAUUGGCCUACGCUCCUUUCAAGAGGUUUGGAAGCCAACGACACUUUGAUUCUAUAGCUCAAGACCAGAUCCUGGACAGCAACAAGGGUUAAGAGUACUACCCUAAGUGUUUUAUAAUAGGGGAAGUCAAGCUGUCAUGAGGAAAAUGGAUAAGACAAAAAGCCACAGAGACUAUUCUUCCAAAUA